AUGUGAUGGAACAGAUGACCUAACUGUCUCAGUUGAUGCUGGCUGGCAAACAAGAGGAAGUGGUAGAGCAUACAACAGUCUGACUGGGCAUUGCUCAAUGAUAGGUUCCAAAACCGGGAAGAUUUUGGGUUACAAGUGGAGAUCAAAGUCCUGUAGAAUAUGCCAGAAAGCUGAACAUGAAGGUAAAUGUAUCAACAGGUUUAUCUCCUGGCAUAUAUACCAAAAAGUUAGCUACUCUCAGAGAUAUUCAGGCUAGAAAGAGGAGAGCUGUUGCCACUACCAAAGCAGCAAAACUUCGCAGAAUAACUUUGAAAUCAAACCGGAAUCAGAAAACAUCUGCAUGUGAGGAAAGAGAAGGUACAACUUAUAAAUCAAAUGCAGCCCUUUGUGAUUUGAAGGAAGAAGACAUUAAUGAAAUACCACCUCCAUCAUCAAAACCUGAAAAUAAUACCAUGUGCUUGGAAGAUGCAACAGAAUAUACUCAAAUAUAUUUUGAUAUUGAAGCUACAGGUCUCAGUCGAACAUCACACAUUACUCAGCUAUCAGCGAUUAGAGGAGAAGAAAUGUUUUCUACAUAUGUAUUACCAUCUUGUGAAAUUACCUCAAAAACAGCAGAAAUAACAGGAUUAACUUUUCAAAACAAUUCUUUAUAUUUUCAUAAUGAAAUUGUGCCAGCAUUAAACAUAAAUGCAGGUCUUAUUAAAUUUAUCCAAUUUUUAGAAAAAUCUGAAAAAAAUGAUCUAUUUGGACACAAUGUUUUCAAUUAUGACUGUCCUGUGUUGUAUAAUGCUUUAUAUAAUUGUAAUUUACUUUCUAGAUUUGAAAGCAAUAUUUUAGGUUUUGUUGAUACGUUGAAAUUGUUUAAAAAUGUAUAUCCAGGUCUGCAUUCAUACUCUCAAUCUAAAUUAUGUCUGACACUUCUUGAUUUUACUUAUGGUACUCACAAUGCUGAGGAGGAUGUAACUGCAUUGCAAAAGCUUGUCAAAGAAAAAAUUCAUAAUACAUGAGGUCAUACAUGUCAAAUGAAAACUGCUUUUUAUUCAAAAAAUUGUAUUUUGUAUCAAUAUUCUUGUUUGAAAAAACUACAUCAAAAUCUUCCAUCAUUGAAAUUACUUAUUAAUACUAAAGUCAUAACCUUAAGAACAGCCACUGCCAUAGCUAAGAGUGGGCUUAAUUUUUAUCAUUUAAAGUUAGCUUUUACAAGAAAUGGUAUGUCUGGAAUUAAAUAUAUUUUUACAGAAAAGUGUGGAUCAUCUGUCAGAGUUACAAAAUCAUCUAAAAUUAUUUCAAGUGUAUCAGAUUUUUUUGAAAAAAUGUAGAGAAGCUUUUUUGUGUAAUAUUUGAUGACACGUUUAUUCUGUACGAUAACAUUUAUUAGGGAAUUCAAUGUUUGCUGUAUCACUCUUCUCAUUCAAAUUUAUGACAAUACCAUACAUCAAUCAGAAUGAAAUUUUAGGAAAUGAUUUUACUUUGAAAUCAAGUAUUAUUUGUGGAACUUUAUAUGGACAAAUUUUCUAUAUAAAGUAAAUAAUUGUGUGUACUUUAGAAGCUGAAACUUUUUAUUGUCUUCAAGUUAUUAUGCUUACGAAUGAUCUGAAAACUAGACUAAUACAGAAUGACCAGAUUUUGCAAUUUUAGCAAAACUGAUAGUUUACAAAGGAGUAUGUUCGAUAAGGUCCUAAAAUGGCCCCCUUUUUUAGUGUAAAUUUCAAAUUCAGAUUUAUCGACCAAUAUCACGAUAAAUUACAGCUAAUACAUUGACUAGCUAGGAUAUAGGCCAUUUUGUUGAAAAUUUUACGUUUCUGUGUUUCAUUAUGACGUCACAAGUUGUACUCAUAUUGAUUUUUCACGAAAAAAUCAAUGAAAAUGGGUAAAUUUCCAAAGAUUGUUGGACAGGAAAAAUAGAGCGCAUACGUCGACAACAAAGAUCUUUUAAAAUAAUGUUUGUGAAGACAUUUCACAUGUCUUAUUUGAAUCUUAAGCUUGUCGACGCCUGCGCUCUAUAUUUCCUGGUCCUUUAUUUGGUUGAAAUCUAGCUGAUUUUGUCAAAUUUCACCAAAAUCACUUAUUUUGACCUUUUUUGGAUGUAAAAAUCAACGUGUUAGAAUUAAACUUUGACAAAAACAGUUCUGUUUAACUUUCUAACAUGUCUUUAGGGCAACUUAAAACAUUUAUUGUCUUGUAACUAUGAACUUUAUAAUUGGGGCCAAAUAUGGACCUUACCGAACUUACUCCUUUGUAUUUGUUAUGGCUUGAAUAUUUACUUCGAAUAUCUGUCAUUUUCUUUAAACCCCGUUAACCCUUAUUAUGAUGUUGUGAUCUGUGCAUUGUUAUUGAAUCUUGUACAAUUAUAUUAGAUCAAUUUAUUAUUACCUUACCUUGAAAGUGUUUAUGCUUUUCAUACAACUAUAUUGAUUUAAUCAGACCAUGCUGUUUGGUGUGAGCUAAGGCUCCUAGUUGAAGACUAUACUUUUACCCCUAAUAGUUUGCUUAUAUAAAUUAUGACUUCGAUGGAGACAAGAUAAAGUUAUUGUUAUAAGUUCUGUUUAUUAUUAACUUUACAUGGUAGGUCAAUGCUAUUUGAUCUAUGCAAUCAAUUGGAGGUGGACAUGUCAGUCUGAAAUCUGUAACUGACCAUCAUGUCUUAAAUUUUAAGGAGUGACAAAGUUAAUUUUUUGUGAUAAAGUCUGUUAUCUCAGUUUCCAUACAUGGUAGACCAAUGAUACUUAGUCAAUGAAUUCAUCCAGAUGUGUACUUGUCAGUCUUGUGUACACAUGUCACCCAACCAUGACCUCAUUAGCAUGGCCGGUCCAAACGUUAAAACUUCGUGAUUAGGCCUGCUUUUCAAUAUUCUUCAUAAUAGGUCAAUGAUAUUUGGUCUACAUUUAUUUAAAGGAUAAAUGUGUGUCGGACGCCUGUCAGCUUACCAUGACUUCUAUUUCAUAAUUCAUUGAUCAUGACAAAUUAUCAGGAAUUUCCAAUCUUCAGAUACUAUAAGCAAUAUGUUUUUCUUAUUAGGUGUAUAGAAUUCAUUGUAUGCACUCUUGUGAUUCUGUGCAUGUGCUUCCAGAUAGUUAGAAAAUUUGGUUGCCUUUGCUGAUAAAAAUUAUAACAAGUUGAUCUAACAAACUUUUAAUUAGAUACAUGCAGUUGAGAAUACAUGAAAAAUUAUAGAUUUUGUCUUCACUUUUUGUGUUAUUUUAGUUCUAGCUUAAAAAAAAUAGCUCAUGUAUUUAUUUUUGUUUAUUCUAAGAAAACUGAGAAAUAUCAAGCAUUUUCCCGUAUUUUUGGUAGUUUUCAGCUUCGUAGCUAAAAAUAAAGCGCAUGAUGAUAUUUUUUUUUGGGGGAAAAUAAGGACUUACAUACGAAUAAGAUUUUCUGAAAAGGUUGUGAAAUUGUAUUUAUAAAAUGAGUGUUUAUUGUAAGCAAAUAGAGCAAAAUCAGGCAUUUUCCCGUAUUUUUAAUAGUUUUCAGCGACUAGCUAAAAAUAAAGUGCAUGAUGAUAUAUUUUUUUUUAUUGGAAAUUAAGGACAAAUGUAUGAAUAAGAUUUUCUGAAAAGUUUGGGAAAUUGUAUUUACAAAAUAAAUGUUUAUUUUUAGAAAAUAGAGCAAAAUCAGACAUUUUCCCAUACUUUUGGUAGUUUUCAGCGACUAGCUAAAAAUAAAACGCAAGAUGAUAUAUUUUUUUUUAUUGGAAAUUAAGGACAAAUGUAUGAGGAAGAUAUUCUGAAAAUAUUGUGGGGAUGUAUUUAUUAUAAAGAUGUUUAUUUUAAGAAAAUAACAAGAAAUCAUGAGAUUUCCCGUACUUUUUCAAAUUUUAACUAAACUGCUAAAAUAACACAAUUUGUUGAUUGGUUUUAUAGAAAAAAAUAUUGAAAAAUGUAACACUUAUAUGUAUCGUACUUGUUUUGCCACCAAUAAAAAUAUUUGUACACUGAAAAUGUAUUGUGUAUCAUUUUUUAUAAGAAACCUGUUUCUUUAGCUUUUCACAACUAUGCCAUAUAUGGGUAUAUUUAAAAUAAGUAUACCGAAAAAAAGAGCGCAUGAACUCAUAUUUUUUUUUACAUUUUUUUGAACAUCUAUCUAUACUGAAUGUAAAAAACCUGAAAAAGAAGGAUCCUGUUUAUUUUGAGU